rnacentral:misc_RNA from 1 species
GAUGAAGAACGUAGCGAAAUGCGAUACUUGGUGUGAAUUGCAGAAUCCCGUGAACCAUCGAGUUUUUGAACGCAAGUUGCGCCCGAAGCCUUUUGGCCGAGGGCACGUCUGCCUGGGCGUCACGCAUCGCGUCGCCCCCCCACAAUUCUCCGUAAAGGGAACAUGUGUUUUGGGGGCGGAUAUUGGUCUCCCGUGCUCAUGGCGUGGUUGGCCGAAAUAGGAGUCCUUUCGAUGGACGCACGAACUAGUGGUGGUCGUAAAAACCCUCGUCUUUUGUUUCGUGCUGUUGCUCGCAAGGUAAACUCUUUAAAAACCCCAAUGCGUCGUCUCUUGACGACGCUUCGACCGCGACCCCAGGUCAGGCGGGACUACCCGCUGAGUUUAAGCAUAUCAAUAAGCGGAGGA